GAAUGGGAGUCAUUUUCCAUUUGUACUUUAAAAUUUUUAAAGACUUCACCAUUUGUACCCCACAUAUUUUUUCUUUCAUAAGAAAUAAGGAUAUGAAGUAACAUUCCUUUUAAAUUAUCAAAAGGGUCAAUUUUUUGUCCCACCUAUUCUCUUUCCAAGCCAAGUUGAUUUGGUAGCGUUGUAAAUUGUGAACACAGUAAGGCCAAAUGAAAAAAAAAAUGUUUUGGUUUUCAGGCUUCGCCGCAUCAGGUCAAAUGUUGUCACAUUGAUCAAUUAAUUUCAUUGGCCAUAUUGAAAAGGGGAAUAAUUCAGUCUUGUAUUUUAAGUUAAAAUUUGAAAGUUAAAAGUUGAGUUAUUUCCCUUUUGAAAAAAUAAUAAAAGCCUGAAUGUCUAACAUGUUUUUUUGGCCUGAGAACCAAAACAUUAAUUUUUUGCGCUCCUACAGUGUGUAUAUACUGAUGUGUUUUGACAGACCUCACCAGUUAGGUGAACUGAUUACGUAGCCUCUAUGUCUGAGGUAUAUCUUCAUUUUAUGUGUGGUCUGUAUUCAUUUCAAGUAAUUAUAUUAUACUUAUAGUUACAUAUAUAUUUAUGUAUUUAAUAUGUAUUAUUGUGUAUAUAAUCUGAAGGAAGAAAAAAAUCAUAUACGCACAUUCAAUUGAUGAAAUAUGUGGAUUGAUUUGGUUUUUGUAUAUAAUUGAACCAGUCUCGGAAGUCAGGAAAUUUCUUGUAUAAUUAAACUAUCAAUUUAAGAUUUAAAUACUCUGAUUUAUUCAAAAAGCAAGAUGUAAAAGAUAGAGAAGGGGAGGUAAUAUUUUUUUUUGGGGGGGGGGGUGGUCAAUUUAAAUCAGAAUUUUUUUUUCUAGAUUUUUCAAUAAUAUUUUAAGGUCAUUAAAUUGUUAAAUGUUUUAACAUCAUUAAGUAAAACAUGUUUAGAAUUUUCAAAAAAAUUAAGAAAUAUUUUAAUUCUUUUCCUGAUUAUGGGCUGGCAGAGAUGAAUAGACUGUAAAUACUGUCAUUUUUGUUCAUUCUCGGAUGUAGAGACUGUCGAUUUUGUAUCAGAAUGUACAUAGAUCUGUAAAUUCCAUGUUUAUAUCAGCUGUAAUAAAUCUAGUCAGGAAAC
rnacentral:sRNA from 1 species